GUGUAGUGUAACUCAUAGUCUUUGUUGUAACUCGUCAGUUUAUAAACUUUAAAUGGCUUUUCUGUGUUGUGCUCUCGGUAAAUCCUAUUUUAGUGGUGCUUUUCGUGACAUUUUACGUGUUCGACACGUUGUAAGGAACGUAAAUUACCUUGGAAAUGAAUUACCAUCGGUAUUUAUUCCGCAAUACUCAAACAAUGUCCUUGGAACUCGGCUCAAGUUUGAAGAACGACGUGAGGUUUAUCCCUGUGGUUUCAAUGGUGUACGAGUCUUCACGAUAAAUUAGGGUUAAAUCCUGAUAAAAUACGGUACGUAAGCUUGACAGGAAAGACUCCCCGUCAGAUCGAAGGACAACAUUUCCCUCUUCGACUUAUCCUUCAAAAAAUCCCCGAUGCCUGAAUUAUUUCAACGAAGACGGAGGGGAACGACCUUCUCCCCAAUGUCAAAGUCUAGUCAUCAAAACGCUUCACUGUUGAGGCUACACAAUCCUGUCAAGGUCAGAGGGUACGCGGGACAAGCUCAUUAAUAUUUUAAUGCCCACCAAGGCAUUGAAAUAGAAAGAGGGCAUUCAUUGGCCCUGCCUGUGCAAACCUGGAUGAAAGAUGAAGUCGUUUGUAAGGGUAAGCUGCCCAAACCAAUCGUUUGAAGGAAACAAACAUAAUUGAAUUAACCAAUAAAACUUGUCUAAUAAGAGCAGAUCCUAGAGGUCUAUUUGGGGCGCUAGCCACCUAAUGAAGUCCUGUAGAACUUGUGUCAAAGUCCAGUGAUUGUUAUUUUACCUAUACCUGACACAUUUGUAUAUUAAACUUGUAGUUUUUGAGAAACUAUACAUUUUGCUUCUUAUUUUCGGUUCCACUACACCGGAAACACCUGUGAGAUAUACAAAUUAAUGCCAUGCACAAUAAUGCAUAUACAUAUAACAGAUUACAGCCGAAACUUGAAGUUUUUCCUACUGUGAUACACAUUCCUAGUGAUAAAAGCAUCAAAACAAGACUUGGCCGAUUUCCACGGAAUUCCUUUGCCUUCAUGACAUCAUCCUCAAAAUGAACCGGAGACUUGCAGAUAAAUUUUAAAAUUUCAUGUGUUGUUUUGAAGCCCGAGUUUUUUCUGAGAAAUGUUUGUUUGCUCAACUAUAAUUUUGAGGAUGCAUAUGCAUUAGAACUACGUGUGCACGAAUGAACAGACCAAGUAUAAUAAAACUCUGUUGAAAUAAAUAAAACAGAGGUAAAGAAAUUCCAUAGGAGCAAACAAGAAAAAAUACCAAGUAGAUGCCACGAAAUAAACAUUAAACAAACGAAAUGAUACAGUAUAUUAAUUGAGCCGAGUUUAUUCACCACCUGCCAUGGUAGGGUAUGGAUGAAACUUGUAGUAGGACUAUAUCUGUGAAACGUUAUUUAUAUCAAAGCAUAACAGGUAACUGCAGAGUAAGAAUCCAGGGUCAGACCCAGCUGGUUGUGCGUGCGCCACUGGCAGUAAAUAUGACAUCUCCUCCAAAUCUCUCUCUCUCUCUCUCUCUCUCUCUCUCUCUCUCUCUCUCUCUCUCUCUCUCUCUCUCGCCUCACCUCAUCCAUCUCGGUUACACUGGUAACUUGCAUAUAUCUCUUGAUUUCGGUUACGAAACACCUCGGUUUGUAAUUUAUUUAGCUUUUCAUUUAUAACAUAGUCAUU